AUUGAACGCUGGCGGCAGGCCUAACACAUGCAAGUCGAGCGGAUGAAGGGAGCUUGCUCCUGGAUUCAGCGGCGGACGGGUGAGUAAUGCCUAGGAAUCUGCCUGGUAGUGGGGGAUAACGUCCGGAAACGGGCGCUAAUACCGCAUACGUCCUGAGGAAGAAAGGGGGGGUUCUUCGGCCCUCACGCUUUCAGAUAAGCCUAGGUCGGAUUAGCUAGUUGGUGGGGUAAAGGCCUACCAAGGCGACGAUCCGUAACUGGUCUGAGAGGAUGAUCAGUCACACUGGAACUGAGACACGGUCCAGACUCCUACGGGAGGCAGCAGUGGGGAAUAUUGGACAAUGGGCGAAAGCCUGAUCCAGCCAUGCCGCGUGUGUGAAGAAGGUCUUCGGAUUGUAAAGCACUUUAAGUUGGGAGGAAGGGCAGUAAGUUAAUACCUUGCUGUUUUGACGUUACCAACAGAAUAAGCACCGGCUAACUUCGUG
rnacentral:rRNA from 1 species